UAUGAUCCAGAGUACCACGGGACACGUGAAACCCUGUGGGAAGCAGGAGGGACCACCCUCCAAGGCUAAAUACUACCUAGUGACCGAUAGCGUAUAGUACCGUGAGGGAAAGGUGAAAAGAACCCCGGGAGGGGAGUGAAAUAGAACCUGAAACCCUGCACUUACAAGCUGUGGAAGCACAUUUCUUGUGUGACCGCGUACUUUUUGUAGAACGGGCCAACGAGUUACGUUAAGUAGCAAGGUUAAGCACUUAAGGUGUGGAGCCGUAGCGAAAGCGAGUUUUAACUGAGCGUUCAGUUACUUGACGUAGACCCGAAACCGGGCGACCUACCCAUGAGCAGGAUGAAGCGAAAGUAAAAUUUCGUGGAGGUCCGAACCCACGAGCGUUGAAAAGCUCGGGGAUGACUUGUGGGUAGCGGUGAAAUUCCAAUCGAGCCCGGAGAUAGCUGGUUCUCCCCGAAAUAGCUUUAGGGCUAGCCUCAAGGUGAGAGAUACGGAGGUAGAGCACUGAAUGUCCUAGGGGGUAUUGCACCUACCGAAGACUAUCAAACUCCGAAUGCCGUCAUCUUAUACUUGGGAGUCAGACUGUGGGUGAUAAGAUUCAUAGUCGAAAGGGCAACAGCCCAGAUCGUCAGCUAAGGUCCCUAAAUGUAAGUUAAGUGGUAAAGGAUGUGGGAUUGCACAGACAACCAGGAUGUUGGCUUAGAAGCAGCCACUCAUUCAAAGAGUGCGUAAUAGCUCACUGGUCGAGUGAUCCUGCGCCGAAGAUUUCCGGGGCUAAAACUUACUACCGAAGCUACGGCAUCAGUAAUGAUGGGUAGGGGAGCUUCCCAUACGGGUUGAAGCAUGACCGUAAGGACAUGUGGACAGUAUGGGAGUGAGAAUGUUGGCAUGAGUAGCGAGAUGUGGGUGAGAAUCCCACAGGCCGUAAACCCAAGGUUUCCAGGGGAAGGUUCGUCCGCCCUGGGUUAGUCGGGACCUAAGCUGAGGCCGAAAGGCGUAGGUGAUGGACAACAGGUUGAUAUUCCUGUACUACCGAUAACCGUUUGAGAGAAGGGAUGACACAGUAGGAUAAGCUAAGCACACUGUUGGUUAUGUGUGCCCAAGCAUUGAGGCAGUCAAAGUAGGCAAAUCCGCUUUGAUAAUGCUGGGAUGUGAUGGGGAGCGAAAUUUAGUAGCGAAGUAGCUGAUUUCACACUGUCAAGAAAAGUCUCUAUCGAGGUUAAAGGUACCCGUACCGCAAACCGACACAGGUGGGUGAGGAGAGUAUCCUAAGGCCAGCGAGAGAACUGUUGUUAAGGAACUCGGCAAAAUGACCCCGUAACUUAGGGAUAAGGGGUGCCACCAUCAGGUGGCCGCAGAGAAUAGGCCCAAGCGACUGUUUACCAAAAACAUAGGUUUCUGCUAAGUCGCAAGACGAUGUAUAGGAGCUGACGCCUGCCCGGUGCUGGAAGGUUAAGGGGAUCUGUUAGAGCAAUCGAAGCAGUGAACUUAAGCCCCAGUAAACGGCGGCCGUAACUAUAACGGUCCUAAGGUAGCGAAAUUCCUUGUCGGGUAAGUUCCGACCCGCACGAAAGGCGUAACGAUUUGGGCACUGUCUCAACAACAGACUCGGUGAAAUUGUAAUUCCGGUGAAGAUGCCGGAUACCUGCGACAGGACGGAAAGACCCCAUGGAGCUUUACUGUAGCUUGACAUUGGGUCUUGGUACUACAUGUACAGGAUAGGUGGGAGGCUUUGAAACCAGGACGCCAGUUUUGGCGGAGCCAUCCUUGGGAUACCACCCUUGUAGUACUGGGACUCUAACCAUAGGCCAUGAAUCUGGUCUUGGGACACUGUCAGGUGGGCAGUUUGACUGGGGCGGUCGCCUCCCAAAAGGUAACGGAGGCGCUCAAAGGUUCUCUCAGUACGGUCGGAAAUCGUACGUAGAGUGUAAAGGCAAAAGAGAGCUUGAUUGCAAGACAUACAGGUCGAGCAAGGAUGAAAAUCGGACUUAGUGAUCCGGUGGUUCUGCGUGGAAGGGCCAUCGCUCAACGGAUAAAAGCUACCCUGGGGAUAACAGGCUUAUCUCCCCCAAGAGUCCACAUCGACGGGGAGGUUUGGCACCUCGAUGUCGGCUCAUCACAUCCUGGGGCUGUAGUAGGUCCCAAGGGUUGGGCUGUUCGCCCAUUAAAGUGGUACGCGAGCUGGGUUCAGAACGUCGUGAGACAGUUCGGUCCCUAUCCGUCGCAGGCGUAGGAAAUUUGAGAAGACCUGUCCUUAGUACGAGAGGACCGGGAUGGACGUACCUCUGGUGUACCAGUUGUCCUGCCAAGGGCAUGGCUGGGUAGCUAUGUACGGAAUGGAUAAGCGCUGAAAGCAUCUAAGCGCGAAGCCAACUUCAAGAUAAGAUUUCCCACCGCAAGGGUAAGACCCCAGAAAGACUAUCUGGUUGAUAGGUCGAAGGUGUAAGUGCAGCAAUGUAUUUAGCUUAUCGAUACUAAUAGGUCGAGGACUUGACCAAU
rnacentral:rRNA from 1 species